GGCAUUGAAUAAUUUUCUCACCUAAACUAAUAUUCUCAUUUUUGUUUUUGAUUAGUUUAGAAUUAAUUGAAAAUUAAAUCUAAAGUACCAUAUUCUAUUUUCUGUACAGUUUUCUCAGACUUUAUUGAUAGGAAUACGCUUUUCCGAGAUUAGGUUAUAUUACCAAUUUAUUGACAAGAAUAAGUUAAUCUUAAAUCAUUUGAGGUUUGAGCAUCAGCUACAGUAAUAAUAAGCAAGCAACCAACAUUUCCUGGUUUAACUGCGGAGGGUUGGUGUGUGGCUCCUUAGCAUCGGGACUGAAGCGGCGGAUGCUCUACUUUUUUCGCCCUAUAUUCAAAAAGUUAGAUCUUCCAUUUUUGGUUCUCUUUUUUCCAAAUUUUCCAUUUUUCUUUUAAUUUCUUUUCUCGUUUGCUUUAAUUUAUAAAUUAAUUGUUUUAUUUAUAAAAAUAUUUCUUGUAUUUGGUAAUAAAUUAAUUAUCAUAAACCCCUGAUUGCUGUCAGAUAGAAUUCUCAAUAAAGCGUUUUUCAUCAAAAUCAA